rnacentral:lncRNA from 12 species
CUUGACUGGAACUUUCACUAAGUUAGCUGUUGGGACGGAUGCUCCUUUUCUGCACAGAGAAUUGUGUCACAGCUUGGCACAGCCAGUGAGAAGUCUGCUUUUGGCUGAGGCUCUUGGUAGUGAAACCCAGUCUGUUCCAGUGAGGUGCUGUGGCUGCCAGAAUCUCUAAAUAUUUGAAAUUAUUCCAAGUGGUAUCUCCAAGGGAUGUAAAGAACAAGGGAAGCUUUGGUGACUGCCUCAAGAGGUAAAUUGUGUCUCCCUCCUGAGCAGAUCAGCAAAACUGCAGCGAGGUGAAUUUCUCUGUAA